rnacentral:rRNA from 1 species
UACGUAGGGUGCAAGCGUUGUCCGGAAUUAUUGGGCGUAAAGAGCUCGUAGGCGGUCUGUCGCGUCUGCUGUGAAAUCCCGGGGCUCAACCCCGGGCUUGCAGUGGAUACGGGCAGACUAGAGUUCGGUAGGGGAGACUGGAAUUCCUGGUGUAGCGGUGAAAUGCGCAGAUAUCAGGAGGAACACCGGUGGCGAAGGCGGGUCUCUGGGCCGAUACUGACGCUGAGGCGCGAAAGCGUGGGGAGCAAACAGG